rnacentral:rRNA from 1 species
UACGGAGGGGGCUAGCGUUGUUCGGAAUUACUGGGCGUAAAGCGUACGUAGGCGGCUUUGUAAGUUAGAGGUGAAAGCCCGGAGCUCAACUCCGGAAUUGCCUUUAAGACUGCAUCGCUUGAAUCGUGGAGAGGUUAGUGGAAUUCCGAGUGUAGAGGUGAAAUUCGUAGAUAUUCGGAAGAACACCAGUGGCGAAGGCGACUCGCUGGACAGGUAUUGACGCUGAGGUGCGAAAGCGUGGGGAGCAAACAGG